GGUGGCUCAGUGGCAGAGCGCUUGUUUUACACGCAUGAGGCCUUGGGUUCAAUUCCUCAGCACCA
rfam:Dipodomys ordii contig_24863, whole genome shotgun sequence.